AAUUUAAAAGAUGUAACCAUGAAUUGAUUUGAAAGGACCAGAAAGGAGGAGGGACCAUUUGCACAAUUUUCUCUGAGAGCAGAAACACGCGGAUCCUUUCCCCCUUGAAUGGCGCCGUUUCAUUAGUUGUUAAAGCUGAAAAAAAAUUUCUUUGAAAAAUUUAUCUAUCAUUUUCUAAAGAAUGGCCUAGAUCUGACAACGGAGGAGAACUCCGACCAUGAUCACGAAGGUUAGGUUCUACUGACGUGGAGAGUGCCGUAUGGAAGAAGAGGACAUAGUGACGUGGGGGCCGUUUGUGGGAGCUGUGACUCAAGGGGUAACCUAGGGUUUUUGCCGAAAAUUGGCUUGGUGUUUUAGGCCGUUUGGGUUAAUUGGAUGUAAUGGAAUUUUGGGUUAAAUUUUAUUAUUGGGCUUGGAUUAAUUUUGGUGUUUUGAAAUGCUGUUGUAAAUGGACAUUGGAUCCUUUAAAUAAUUUAGUUUAUUAUUUAUUUUUUGUUUUAUUUUGUGUAUGAGCCCAGGCGAAAUGGGCUUUCUACACCAAUUUGUGAAAAAAUAAAAUAAAAUAAAAUAAAGAACACAAAAAUUUUGAUGUGAAAA